AGCAAGUUUGCUUUAAUGAGGCUUCUCCCCAAAAAUUCAGCUUGUCCUUUCCCAGCCCAACCCUAACCACCCAACAUAGCUCAUACCCUAACCACCCAACAUAGCUCAAACCCUAACCGCCACCACCAGGUCUACUAGCACAUAAAUUUACAACACAGCCCCAACAAACCACCCAAAAAGAACUGCAACCCAAGGAGAUUACUGUACUUUAAACACAAAUACAAAAUCAGAGGGGGUUUCGUCAGAGACCAUGUUUUUGCAAGAACCAGUGUUAUAUGUAGCAAGUGCAGCUUUAAGGUGUUUGGUAUUGUUUGCUGAGCUCCGGAAAUCGUGAAGCAUCAAAGAAAGCCCUUGAACAUAAGAAAGAAAUCACUAAGCAUUUGGGUCGUCCCUUUAUCCAAACAAACCCUUAUGAGGUGUGUGUGUGUGUGUGUCAGUUUCUAUUUUCGUUGAAAAGAUUGGAUUUUUUUUGCAUUUUUUGAUUUGGGUUUUUUUUUGGGUUUUAGAGGAUUAUGUGAAUCUUGGUUCUAGGGGUAAUUAAUGGAAUUUAGGUUUGUUUUGGUUUAUUGUUUUCUGGAGGAUUCUGUGAAUUUUGGUUAUAUGGUCAGAUAAUGAAACGAAGAAUUUUGUGAAUUUGGAUUAUAUGGUUAGUUAAUGGCAUAUAGGCUUUGUUUUUAUUAUGUGCUAUUGGUUUUAUUAUAUGCUUGAAUUGUCAUUUAUCUGCAAAAGUUUGAGUUUUGUUUGUGAUAGUGGGGUUGGGGUUGAUAUUGCAAUAAGGGAUGUGGGUGGUUUAUUGUAGGGAAUAGGGAUUGGGGGGGUCUGGGUGUUUUGAUGUAGAUAGGUGCUUUAAUCGGUGUUUGGGAUAUGAGGGAGUGAUUACUUGUGCCAAAUGGGAUGGGAUUAAGUUUCCAGUUUUGCUGUGAUGAAUGAAGUUGCUUUUUGGUAGUUGAAACUAAGUUCAUUUCAGAUUGAGUUAUUUGUUGAACUUUUGAAAUGAUGGGUUGGAGCUUAGGCCUCUGGGUUGAUGAAAAGUUCAAAUUCUUGUGUGACAAUGGAGAUGGGGGCCAUGAGAUUAAGAUUGCGAUGAGGGAUCUUUGGUGGUUUAGUGGGUUAUCGUAGGGAAUAGGGAUUAGGGGAUUUGGGUGUUUUAGUGAAGAUAGGUAAUUUAAUCAGUUUUUGGAACGGCGGGGAGUGACUCCUUGUGCUGAAUAGGGUGUGUUUAAGUUCCAGUUCUGCUGGGAUGCAUGAAGUUGUUUUGUGUGUGUUGGUAGAAACUAAGUUCAAUUCUGAUUGAGUUGUAUAUUGAGCUUUUGUACUGGAGCGCUGGAGUUUAGGCCUCUGGGUCGAUGUUAUAGCAUGCUUGAAUUGUCAUUUAUUUGCUAGAAUUUUGAAUUUUGUGUUAUAAUAGGAUGAGGACCAUAAGGGUAAGACUUCAAUAAGGGAUGUGUGUGGUUUGGUGGGUUAUUGUAGGGAACAGUGAUUGUAGAAUUAGGGUGCUUUGGUGAAGAUAGGUGCUUCCAUCAGUUUUGGGGAUGUUGGGGAGUGAUUGCUCAUGCUGAAUGGGAUAUGAUUAAAUUUCAAGUUUUGUUGGAUGGAUGGAGUUAUUUUUGGUUGGUGGAAACUGGAGACCAAGUUCGUUUCUGAUAUAUUGGAACUUUUGUACUAUUGUGUUGACCUUGGGUUGGUGCUAUAGUACUGUUGUCAUUGUUUAUACAACCAUAAACUGUUAUAAUAUUUCCUGGUGUCUUCAAACGUGCCAUUUGUUUUCUAGGCUGUCUAUGCUUUGUUGGGUGCUACCAUGCAACAAAUACUCAAAGUUUCUAACGUCAACUGAAUAAAUGAAAAUAUCCAUCAAUUGGAGUAUAUUUGAGUCUCUUCUAUAUCAUAAACUAAUGGCACAUGAUCAUUAGUUACAUUUAUAUUAGUCCACCUUUUUUGAAAAUGAUACUAUGUGAACGCUGAUGGUUGCUAUGUUCAGUAAUAGCCUCCUGCGUGACUGACUUUACAGGUUCAUAGUUGGAAGAAAUUAAAUUUGAAGACUUGGCCUUGAACCAAUAUGAUUGCUAUAACUGGGAAACAUAGAUAUUAGUUCUUUCUAUGCCUAAUGAAAUUUGGAUCGAAAACCAAAUUUUCAAAUAUGAAGCCUUCUGAUGGCAAUUGCUUUGUGGAAGAUUUAAACUGCUUCGUAACAAUCAAGCCUAUCCUCUAAACACUAUCCAAUAUGGCCAUGUUCUCAUGUUGAAAAUAUAAUUGAUUGGAAUAGAGGCUUUAAAAUUCAUGGUCGGUUUAAUGGUUUAUCAAUAUGCUGCAAUUGUAUAUUUUUAUUUUUGAAUCAAUUGGAUGAUUGGAAUCUAUCAAGCAAGCUUUGUAUGAACUGGUUAUUCUUCCUCUGCGGAAACCUGAGCUCUUCUCACAUGAGAAACUUCUUGGUCCACAAAAGGGGGUAUUGUUAUAUGGACCUCCAGGCACCGGGAAGACCAUGCUUGCAAAAACUAUUAUCAGAGAGUUUGGAGCUGUUUUUAUAAAUAUGAGGAUCUCUAAUCUGAUGAGCAAGUGGUUCGGCGACGCACAAAAGCUCGGUCACCCCAUCCCACAAGCAGCAAUCUGUACCCUCUUUCCACGACUCUGUCUUGGGAUGCUGGCAAUUCCAUGAAGCAGAGCUAUUAAUGGAAAAGGAUUCUUUGAAUUGGAGCAAAGAAAGAUUUUGGUCAUGAGCACAAAAAUGAGAUGAAGAAAUUGUCGAAAGGAAAUGGAAGAGAAACAGAAUGAAAGAGAGGGACGGUGGUGAAAACCCCAUGUUUGGCCUUACAGGAUUUAGUAGUAUAUUUGGGAGAGAUGAGGAAUAAAGAAAGGCAUUGUUUGUAUAUUUAGUAGUAUAUUUAUAGACAAAGCAAUCUUAGAUUGUAUACUGACGAAAUCAAAGUCACUGACCGACCAAAUCUCAAGUACAAGAGUGAGUAAUACGUGCGCAAAGCAAUGGGGGCACUAAAGACUUUGCACUUAUAUAUUGUUUCUCGUGACCCAAAAUUACUCUUUGUGUGCGCUCGGUAAUGAAUAACAGUUUAAAAAUCGUGACAGCUUAAUUUGAAUGUUCAGAGAUGUUUUUCCAAAUUGUAUUUAGCAAUGAGAUUUAUGCGAAGAUUGCUUUGCCAACUAAAAUAUAAUUUCCAAGAAAUUCAAGUCACAAAAUCCUCAAUACAUAGGAAGAAAACUUAUCGAUGAUUUACACUCGUAGUUUACUCACAGCAGAGUUAAAAAGUCAUCCUCACCUUCUUAUGUCGACUUCAAUCCAAUCCAGUCAACACGUUCUGGCAAUAGCUUUAUUGAACCGUUACUAGAAAACUGACAAACAAUGGAGAAUGGAGUUUGAAGGUUCUUGCACUCAAGAUGCUGUGGGAUCGGUCCUCCUAAAAGGUCUUUCUCUUUCAGCAUCAACAAGGGAGAAGCAAUCUUCAUUUGGUCUGUCCUUGAUCUUCAAGUCUUCGGAACUUGGAUGUAUAGAUAUUGUCCACUCUUCAUGUGGUGUUGAAUAUGGAACUGAAGGUUCACUUGCAAAUAUUUCCACACAAGAGUGAGCGUCGGAAACACGGCAGUACUAAUUUCCAAAAUUGACAUUUUUGCAGCAAGUCUUUGUGCUAACAGCUCGUCUGAUGGGAAGUGUACGUUUCUGGGGACUUCUACCACUCGUCCUCGUCUUCUAUAAAACUCCAUGCCAACAAAAGGCAUUAAUGCAACCCUUGAUACAGAUUUUUGCUGGAUAUUUCCACGCAAGGAGAGCUCCCUUAACUAGUUGAUGACUAAACAAGAGUAUUGGACAGAGGGAAACAGAAUCGUUCUCAGGUAUCAUUAGGAAUUGUUUCAAGGAGGAAAAAGUAUAAGGUUAGGUUUCUUAAUGCCAGAGGCAGUUUGACAGAGAUGGAUAAGGAGGUUAGUGACAACUCUAUGGACUCUACUCUUGCCAAUGUCAAUGGAAGGUUGGAAAAUUUGGCAACUUGUACUGAACCCACAAUAGUCUAUAGCUCUGAACGAGAGGUGGCAGCUACACAUCACCUUGGCAAGGUUUUAGGGAUUCAUAGAGAUACUAAUGAUGGUUUGGUUGCUGAACAUAUUCGGAGGCAGAUUGAUACGAAAUAGAAGGAAUGGAUGUCAUAGCAUGUGAUGUUAUAAAUCCUGAUCACAUAGAUGUGGAAUUUGAAUUAAUUGGAGGAUUGGAAUCUAUCAAGCAAGCUUUGUAUGAACUGGUGAUUCUUCAUCUGCGGAAACCUGAGCUCUUCUCACAUGGGAAACUUCUUGGUCUACAAAAGGGGGUAUUGUUAUAUGAACCUCUCUGAUAAUUGAAGCAAGUUGCUGCUGUUUUUAGCCAGACUUAUAAACUCCAGCCUGCUAUUAUAUUUAUGGAUGCGGUUGAUAGUUUUCUAGGGCAGCUUCGUACAGAUCGUGAGUUCUUACUCUUGAAACAUAUGCUGCAUUUGUGCAGUCUUCUUAUACAGUGACUUGUUAGAAUGUGUUUAAUGUAAGAUUUGUGAAAGUGUGAUAAUAUCUUACAAAAAAUUAUUUUAAUGUUUUCCCUAUUAAGCAUUGUUUGCAUAAACCUAUGUUGAUUUUUUUUUUUGCUUUAGAUAUAAACGAUGCAUUAGAACAUUGUUUGUACCUGUUGAGAUGAUUAUAUUACACUUUUUAAUA